UUUCUUUUCCGGACCCUGCAGUGGCGCCUAAAGUCUGAGAGAGGGAAGUCGCCUCUGUGCUCAUCAGCCAAUCAGUGUCGCCGCGGUUCCUGGUUCUAAAGUCCUCGCCGGCCCACCGGGACUCAGAUUCUCCCCAGACGCCAAGGUUGCGGGUCAUGGAGUCCCGAACCCUCCUCCUGCUGUUCUCGGGAGCCGUGGCCCUGAUCCAGACCUGGGCAGAUUACAAUUACAAUCAAGGCAGAAAUGAUCUCAUUUUUACAUUACAACUCUGGAAAAGGCAAUAGACUGAGAUGCAAGUGUGCCCCCAAGUGAUGGGCAGAAGGAGAGAAGGUGUUUUGGAUGCAUUCUAGAACACAGGUAAUCUAAGGAGAGUUGAUCAAGGCCGUGGAAGAGUCCUCCAGCCACUAUUGGCCAUCAAAGGAGUCCUCUGUGUCCCAGGAAUGGUCCUGCUUUGGUGUCCCUGGUGUGACCCAUCACCCGCUGGGAACAGCCUGAGAGAAGUAGGGCCUCUGCACCAAUGCUGCUGAGGAUGUCAGAGCACAGGAACGAGGCCU
ensembl:lncRNA novel transcript